ACACGUUUUCCUUCCGUGCUUUAGUUGGAAAGCAUCCGUGCUAUCUUGACAAUAUGGACAUGAAAGCCUCCCAUGUGUUGUCCAUCCAGAUAACAUACCAUAUGCGGGAAAAUCACUUAUUGUCCACAUAAGUACUGCCCUCAUCUGAAAGUUUUCUUUGCACGAAACAUCGUAUGUCUCAGCACCAUGCGCCCAUAACUGUUGCAGCUCAUAUAUCAGUGGCUGAAGAAACACAUCUAAUGAUCUCUUAGGAUGCUCUGGCCCGGGGACAAGAAUGGAGAGAAACAAAAACACUCGUCGCAUGCACAAAUUCGGCGGUAAGUUGUACGGUGUCACAAUCACUGGCCAUAGAAAAUAUUGUCUUCCAUGCUUUCCAAAUG
rnacentral:lncRNA from 1 species